AGCAGUUAUACUACACUGUCGUGCACUACUGUACACACGCGGGAAUUCGAUGGCGGUUGACUCCAUGGAAUCGGUGGCCUUGGUCGCGGUGCCCUUCCCGGCGCAGGGCCACCUGAACCAGCUCAUGCACCUCUCCCUGCUGGCCGCGUCGCGGGGGCUCUCCGUGCACUACGCGGCGCCCGCGGCGCACCUCCGGCAGGCCCGGUCGCGCCUGCACGGCUGGGACCCGCAGGCCCUCGGCUCCGUCCGGUUCCACGACCUCGGCGUCUCGGCGUUCGAGUCCCCGGCGCCCGACCCGGCCGCCCCGUGCCCCUUCCCGAACCACCUCAUGUCCAUGUGGCAGACCUUCACCACCGCCGCGCGCGCCCCGCUCGCCGCCCUCCUGGAGAGCCUCUCCGCCACCCACCGCCGCGUGGUCGUCGUGCACGACAGGCUCAACUCCUUCGCCGCCGUCGAGGCGGCGCGGCUGAGCAACGGCGAGGCCUUCGCGCUGCAGUGCGUCGCCAUCUCGUACAACAUCGGGUGGCUGGACGCCGAGCACCCGCUCCUGCGCGACAACGGCCUCCGGUUCCACCCCAUCGACGCCUGCAUGUCCAAGGAGUUCCUCGAGUACGUCUUCCAGACGGAGAAGGAGAUGCAGGAGCGGGGGGGCGUGCCCACCGCCGGCAUGGUCAUGAACACGUGCCGCGCACUCGAGGGCGACUUCAUGGACGCCAUCGCGGCGCACCCGGCGUUCAAGGACCAGAAUCUCUUCGCGGUUGGGCCACUGAACCCGCUGCUGGACGCGAGCGCCCGGACGCCGGCCAAGACGCGGCACGACUGCAUGGACUGGCUCGACAAGCAGCCGCCGGCGUCGGUGCUCUACGUGUCCUUCGGAACGACGUCGUCUCUCCUGGGAGAGCAAAUCGCGGAGCUGGCGGCGGCACUCAAGGGCAGCAAGCAGAGGUUCAUCUGGGUGUUGCGCGAGGCCGACCGUGCCGACAUAUUCAAGGAGCCCGGCGAGAGCCUGCACGACAAGCUGCUCUCUGAGUUCACCAAAGAGACCGAGGGGACUGGGCUGGUGAUCACCGGGUGGGCGCCGCAGCUGGAGAUCCUGGCGCACGGCGCCACGGCGGCAUUCAUGAGCCAUUGCGGCUGGAACUCGACAAUGGAGAGCCUGAGCCACGGCAAGCCGAUUCUGGCAUGGCCAAUGCACUCCGACCAGCCGUGGGACGCGGAGCUUCUCUGCAAGUACCUCAAGGCCGGGCUCCUCGUGAGGCCAUGGGAGAAGCACAGCGAGGUGGUGCCGGCGGCGGCCAUCCAGGAGGUGAUCGAGGAAGCGAUGCUCACGGACAAAGGGAUGGCGGUGCGGCAGCGGGCGAAGGUGCUCGGCGAGGCCGUUCGCGGCGCCGUGGCCGACGGCGGCUCCUCGAGCAAAGGCCUCGACGACUUCGUUGCUUACGUCACAAGGUGAUCAGCGUAUCCGUGCGUGCCAUACACAGAUACGCAUUGAGCGGUUUGGUCUCAUCGAGGCCAAGAAGAAAGAUUUGGAGGAGAUGAUAAUCUACAAAGCAUUUUCAUCUAAAAGCAAGUGGGAAGGGAAAAUAAAUAAUCAUACUAUCAACGG
rnacentral:rRNA from 1 species